GUGCUCACUUCAGCAGCACAUAUACUAAAACUGGAACAAUACCGAAAAGAUUAGCAUGGCCCCUGUGCAAGGAUGACAUGCAAAUUCAUGAAGCAUUUCAUAUUAAA
rnacentral:snRNA from 1 species